rnacentral:misc_RNA from 1 species
AAGAUGAAGUAAGAGUCUUAUCAAACAACCGGCACUGUAAUUCAACAACCUGUGGCGAUCGAUGUAAGACAUGUCCCAAGUAAUUAUAGUGUAGCUGCGUGGUUGUCUUGUUUAUGUUGCUGUUGGCCUCUCGGACUUGUGUCAAUUAUUAAAUCUAAUGAGGUCAACACAGCUAUUUCGUUAGGUGACCUUACAAGAGCACAACUUGCUUCUCAAUCUGCUCGAAACUUUGCCAUUGCAUCUUUGAUUAGUGGAAUUGUAAUCAUAAUUACAGUCAUAAUUUUAACAGUUGGGGUUUAAAGCUUAUCUCUCUUUUUUUGUUUUGUAAUUUUUAAUUUGCUAAAAAAUAAGUUUAAUG